UGGGGAAUAUUGCACAAUGGGCGCAAGCCUGAUGCAGCGACGCCGCGUGAGGGAUGACGGCCUUCGGGUUGUAAACCUCUGUUAGCAUCGAAGAAGCGAAAGUGACGGUAGGUGCAGAGAAAGCGCUGGCUAACUACGUGCCAGCAGCCGCGGUAAUACGUAGGGCGCGAGCGUUGUCCGGAAUUAUUGGGCGUAAAGAGCUUGUAGGCGAUUGGUCGCGUCUGCUGUGAAAGGCUGGGGCUUAACCCUGGUUUUGCAGUGGGUACGGGCUAACUAGAGUGCAGUAGGGGAGACUGGAAUUCCUGGUGUAGCGGUGGAAUGCGCAGAUAUCAGGAGGAACACCGAUGGCGAAGGCAGGUCUCUGGGCUGUAACUGACGCUGAGAAGCGAAAGCAUGGGGAGCGAACAGGAUUAGAUACCCACGUAGUCCCUGAGCGGGCUGGCAAGGCGCAU
rnacentral:rRNA from 1 species